GCUACUGAGUCAUCAUCUCCAAAACUCAAAUGAGCUCAAGGCUCCAAACAUGAAAUGUGGUCAUGAGAGACAAGAGGAGGGGUUUGAAACAGCAAACUGUUUCAGUAGAGGGCCAAACAGCAAGUCAGCCACCGUAACACAAAAGUAGCCACAGACAGACGUCAAACGAUUAGGUACGGUGUUCCAAUAAAAUUGUAUUUACAAAAACAGGCAUCAGGCCAGCUUUGGCCCACAGGCCAGGAGUUUGCAGACCCCUGGAAAAGAGACUCACCAGAACUCUUCAAAGGAACAAAAUGUCGCACAAUCUCCGAGUCGAGGAAUUAACUUGUAAAUGGACAAGCAAGAGUCACUGAGAACUGCCGUCCUUUAGUUGGGCUCACUGCCUCACCAAAUAAAGCCAGUAUGUUUAAAGAAGAGUGGAGAAUAGUCAUGAGAUAGGCAGCCAGCCAUCUCGGCCAUAAAAUAGCAUAUUGACUGAGUUAGAGGUGCCUUGGAGAGGAGCCCACAGCCUGCCAUCUUGCAUUUGAAAGGACAGGCGUCAUGAAUCACAGAUACAGGACACACGAAUGUGCGGGAGAGAGAACUGGAUUUUCGUCAUGUGUUGUGAAUUUCCCAGCCAUGCUUUAAAGAAGACAUACGUGGCAGCUCGAGAGCAACCACUUGCAGGUGGCCAGCGUGGAGGGGAGUUCCAUGUCCUUCUCUCUCCGCAAGUGCCAAAAGCUCUGCCCGGGCGCCACGGAUGACAGCAACCGACAUGCAACCAAAUGAAACACGCCUCCUCUUUGCAGCUGCUUCAGAACAACGCUAAGGAAAGGAAAGGUCUUUGUGUGAAAACCUAUCAUUCUCGGUGAGACCUCAGACUCUGAGGUGUGGGCAGAACGUCUCUGCUGGGACAAGGGAAGUGGGGGCUUAGCCGUGGCUCUAGGGUGUGGAAUAUGUGAAGGUGUCACCAGAGACGCAGGAAGAAGCUGGGACACCCUCCGAAGCUCACUCUCUCUAAGCCUUCAGUAGGAGUCCAAAAUCACGAAGGGCUUGCUACUGUGUGCCUGCCACGGAGGCACCAGCAUAACAGUGGGAGACAGGGUCUGGGUCAAGUUGGAGACCUUCUCUGAGGGUUGGGAUGACACAGAUGUCCAAACGUUGGCCCCAGUGCUCACUGUCUUUGUAACGGAGGCAGGUGAUAUAACAUGUCUAAGUUCCCACUUCUUGGUCACCA